GUGCUCGCUUCGGCAGCACAUAUACUAAAAUUGGAACAAUACAGAGAAGUUAACACGGCCCCUGCACAAAGAAGACACACGAAUUCGUGAAGUGUUCCAUAUUUUA
rnacentral:snRNA from 1 species